rnacentral:misc_RNA from 1 species
CCCAUAUGGAUUUAGCCAGCAAAGAGCAACUCAAACCUGAAUUAGCAAGAGAGGACAGUUUAGUGUCUCACUUGACCCAGGGACAUCAAAAAGAAGUUCCUCCAAGUAAGGGAACGGGGGUUGAAGUGCGUCGCCGGACUGAUCAAAAGUAAUAUCGGUAUCAGCUUCUAUAAACAAGAUACCUUCACCAGUGCAUUCCACCAAAAGCUUGCGAUUACGCCCUUCCCGAAGCCUACCUGCAAAUGGAUAGUAAAAGACAAGUGCUUUAGCAAGAGCCUCCCUGAUGAUUUUAACAGGGUCUUUCCCUUGCAUAGAGGGCUCAUAACGAUAAACUUGUAAGGUGGGAAUAUGGAAGCGGAGACUCUCUUGGUCAUCAAUGUCAGAUAAUGGCUUAAACUCAUGAGGGGUGGGCUUAGCCGGGGGGAGGAG